UAAAAAAAGUUCAUUCAUUUCUAUCUUUAAAAAACUGGCAUGUUGAUAGCAUAACCAAAUAAGACAUGUGGUGUGCCAUGUGUACCUCAUACUGACAUACAGGGAUCAGUUUUUAAUAGUAAAAAUAGAAAUAAUUUUUCAUA
rfam:Gossypium hirsutum cultivar TM-1 chromosome 9, whole genome shotgun sequence